UUCCUGUUCCUCCCUGGACUUAAAUCAACAUGGCAUAAACUCAAGACUGGAAGAAUGAAUUGCUGAAUUAAAAAAAGGAAACCAAUAAACACUGUACCUGA